rnacentral:rRNA from 1 species
GAGUUUGAUCCUGGCUCAGAUUGAACGCUGGCGGCAUGCCUUACACAUGCAAGUCGAACGGCAGCACGGGAGCUUGCUCCUGGUGGCGAGUGGCGAACGGGUGAGUAAUGCAUCGGAACGUAUCCUGGAGUGGGGGAUAACGUAGCGAAAGUUACGCUAAUACCGCAUAUUCUGUGAGCAGGAAAGCGGGGGACCUUCGGGCCUCGCGCUCUUGGAGCGGCCGAUGUCGGAUUAGCUAGUUGGUGAGGUAAAGGCUCACCAAGGCGACGAUCCGUAGCAGGUCUGAGAGGUUGAUCUGCCACACUGGAACUGAGACACGGUCCAGACUCCUACGGGAGGCAGCAGUGGGGAAUUUUGGACAAUGGGGGCAACCCUGAUCCAGCCAUGCCGCGUGAGUGAAGAAGGCCUCGGUUGUAAG